rnacentral:lncRNA from 1 species
GGGCAGCAACCUAUCAACGAGUUGUCCGAUUCAUCUCAAAAUUUCAGGGCAGAUAGAUCUUGACCUGAUAAACAAUUUUACUACACGUCAGAUUUGCUCUAAAUGCUUCGGUUUUUGAGUGAUAAGCCAAAAACUGCAUUUUACCCCUAUGUUCUAUUUUUAGCAAUGGCGGCCAUCUUGGUUGGUUGGCCGGAUCACCGGACACAAUUUUUAAACUAGAUACCCCAAUGAUGAUUGUGGCCAAGUUUGGUUUAAUUUGGUCCAGUAGUUUCAGAGGAGAAGAUUUUUGUAAAAGAUAAUUAAGAUUUACGAAAAAUGGUUAAAAAUUGACUAUAAAGGGCAAUAACUUCUAAAGGGGUCAACAGUCCAUUUUGGUCAUGUUGACUUAUUUGUAGAUCUUACUUUGUUGAACAUUUUUGUUGUUCACAGUUUAUCUCUAUCUAUAAUAAUAUUCAAGAUAAUAACCAAAAACAGCAAAAUUUUCUCAAAAUUACCAAUUCAGGGGCAGCAACCUAUCAACGGGUUGUCCGAUUCAUCUGAAAAUUUCAGGGCAGAUAGAUCUUGACCUGAUAAACAAUUUUACCCCAUGUCAGAUUUGCUCUAAAUGCUUUGGUUUUUGAGUUAUAAGCCAAAAACUGCAUUUUACCCCUAUGUUCUAUUUUUAGCCAUGGCGGCCAUCUUGGUUGGUUGGGCGGGUCA